GCUAUGCCCAUCUGGGCAGAGGGAUCCUCCUCCUGGCACUGGUAAAGAUUGCCUGGUCUCUCCCCAGUCAACAAAGCUAAAGAUUGCCUUUGCUGAUUUCCGGGUGCUUGGCCAAAAGCUCAGGGAUGCAAAUCAACAGGCAAUGCCUUGGUAACUCCUUUACCUCAUCCUGGCUGGAAUGCCCAGGGUGCCUAUAUCUUACCUCGCCUACCCCGAAGAGAAAAGGCUGAUGUGUGUUCAGGGUAUGGACAGGUACAGCCAGGGAGGAGGCAGAGGCCCUCCCCCAACACUGCCACCGGACCCCUGCGAGUGCAUGAGAAUACACAGGGAGAAUUCCUGGGGAGCUGCAGCUGGACACCGAGCAGUCAACUGCGUAAAAGGCAGGAGGAAUGCCUGCCACAGUGUGCACUUCUACCAGAUUGUCAAGGAUGGACCUCCACCAGACUACCAGAGCUGCACCACCACCAGAAGAACCCCUGAUAAACUCCACGGAAGGUCAUCCCUGGGACACGCACCCUUCUCUUUCCCCCCAGCCCCCCCAAUCUGCGACUGGGUAAUAUGAUCCCAGCUGUUUGCCUUCCCUGCUUCUUCUCUGUCGUACUCUAUCUCUCCCUCUGUUUUGUCCAAUUUUAUCCUUUAAUAAAUAGUUUCAAGGUGAUA